rnacentral:rRNA from 1 species
AUGGGAACGCGAAGAACCUUACCUAGACUUGACAUCUCCUGAAUAGUGUAGAGAUACAUGAAGCCCUUCGGGGCAGGAAGACAGGUGGUGCAUGGUUGUCGUCAGCUCGUGUCGUGAGAUGUUGGGUUAAGUCCCGCAACGAGCGCAACCCUUAUUACUAGUUGCUAACAUUAAGUUGAGCACUCUAGUGAGACUGCCCGGGUUAACCGGGAGGAAGGUGGGGAUGACGUCAAAUCAUCAUGCCCCUUAUAUCUAGGGCUACACACGUGCUACAAUGGUGGGAACAAAGAGAUGCAAUACCGCAAGGUGGAGCUAAACUCAAAACCCCAUCCCAGUUCGGAUUGUAGGCUGAAACUCGCCUACAUGAAGCUGGAGUUGCUAGUAAUCGCGAAUCAGAAUGUCGCGGUGAAUACGUUCCCGGGUCUUGUACACACCG